AGGAAAGCCCUAGCAAACAUCCACACCAAUCACCCAAUUUAAUAAAUACUCUAUCUUUGAUCCUUAAGAAUCUAUGCCUGUAUUUUAAAUACAUAAGUCAGUGUGCCAUUGCUUUGCUCAACAUUCUCAAAUGGAUUCUAUCACAUGGUCAGCAUAAAAUGUUAAACUUUUCUGUAAACUUUAAGACUUUUGGUGCCCCUUAAAGUCACCUUUUAUCUCUGAAUUCACUUCAUUCUUUCUCCCAUCAGUGUUGUCCCCUUUAGCCAGCUUUAUUUUCAGCAUCCCAAUAUACUGACAGAUACACUGUUGAUGGCUCUGACUAGUGUUUCUUAUUACUUAUCUGCUCUAAAAUAUGCAGAAAUAGAUAUUUUGUCUCACUUAAUACUAUAUCUCUAACAUUCAGCAUGAAUAGAUUGUUACAGAGUAAUUUAAAAGAAUGUUCUGAGUUUUCAAAAGAGAUGGCAAGAGGUCCUCUUCAGGAUAUUUAGGUUAAAACAAAGCUGUUUCAACUUCUUCUUCUUCUUCUUCUUCUUCUUCUUCUUCUUCUUCUUCUUCUUCUUCUUCUUCUUCUUCUUCCUCCUUCUCCUUCUCCUUUCUCCUCCUCCUUCUUUCUUCUCCUCCUCCUCUUCUUCUUCCUCCUCUCUCCUCCUCUUACUCCUCUUCUUCUACCCUUUUUCCUGCUGAUUUAUAGCUCAGUAAAAAACCUCGUGCAGUGUGUGGCUGUAAGGAGUCUCAUGUGUUAUUCUGCACUGAGAUUCUUGAUGUCUCUGGAAUUGCUCCUGGGGGCUGAGUAGCUGGAAAGAGAAUCUGAGUGGCCUCCUGACUCCUCAAGGGUAAUCUCAGCUAAAACUGGAUAAUCCUGUGGAUUCAAAUGGAAAAGAUGCUCUGCUGUUGCUGAGUACAGCCUCCUUGCCUACACCGCAGGUUUCUGCAGCUCCCUUCUUGGCUGAUGAAGGGGCAGGUCAAACACUGAUUCCUUCCUAUAUCUUGGAAAGUCAAUCCUAGCUUUUCUCCGUCAAAGCGUUGCCCUUACAGUACUAAACAUAAAAGAAAAAAGUAAUGUAGAAAAGUUUUUUAAAUGUGAAAUUAUGGAGACAUAGGACUAAAGCCUAGACUAUCUUUACCCACCCCCCAGGGAGGUGAGGGGUUGGUUGUGUUUGCUGUUAAUUGUUUUACUGUUUUGUAAUUCACUAGAAAACUAUGGAUAUUUCUACUGUUUUCUGUCUUGGUAGACUUAUUCUGUGAGAAUAAGUAAUAUUUCUUUUGUAAGAGAUUGUAUUCAUGAUAGAAGAUGUGGAAUGACUUUAUCCUUUGUUUGUAGCUUGUUUGGAAAAAUAAAUAGACGGAG
rnacentral:lncRNA from 1 species